CGUCGACGGCCAGUCAGUAUCGAUUGAACAGUCGCGCGUAACACAUCGAACCGAUGCGGAGAGCCCGGCUAGGCCCCCACACCCCCGUUUGUAAUAAAUAGCGUUGCACGAAGCGACCACGCUAGCAAACGGCAAGAAUACGCUGAGAACGACGGAGGCGGCACAGCCAACCAGCAACGCGAGAGAGGCAACAGAAUACAAAAUAUAUAAAAAAAAAAAAACAACAUAAAAAUAAAAUACAAAAACUAAAGCAAAGAAAGAACAAAAACAGACAGUUAGAACAGCUGGAAAUUAAGGCAAAAUUUGACGAAACGUAGACGAGCCUAAAAGAGAAAACAAAUAUUACCAUUCAAUAUUUUAAUUUUUUAUUUUUUAAUUUUUUUUUUACGUUCGUUCCAAAUUCAAUUUAGCGCGUUUUCGGCUUUAAACUUAAUGUUUUUUAUAAUUCCGCUUAAAACGUGCCUUGUAACUUAAUAUACAUAUAAUUUGUUGAGAUACCGUCGAUGCACUUACUAUAUAGACGAAGGACGGGCACAACAACAAAAGAAAUUGCACACCUGAUACACCCAAAGGCAGUGAAAAGAAUAUAAAAGAAAGACAACAACAACAAAGACUAGAGAAAUCAGUCAAGCAACAACUAACAACAACAGCAACAACAACAACAACAAUGACAACAAAACCACCAAGAAAAGUGGCACCCGAUGGCGGCUGGGGCUGGGUUGCCUGCUUCGGCGUCAGUUUGGUCAACGUAAGUUUGAAUUCAACUAAU